UACGAAGGGUGCAAGCGUUACUCGGAAUUACUGGGCGUAAAGCGUGCGUAGGUGGUUUGUUAAGUCUGUUGUGAAAGCCCCGGGCUCAACCUGGGAAUGGCAAUGGAUACUGGCAAGCUAGAGUGCGGUAGAGGGUAGUGGAAUUCCCGGUGUAGCGGUGAAAUGCGUAGAGAUCGGGAGGAACACCAGUGGCGAAGGCGGCUACCUGGACCAGCACUGACACUGAGGCACGAAAGCGUGGGGAGCAAACAGGGAUUAG
rnacentral:rRNA from 1 species